GGGGACGCUACGGAUUCGACAGGAGUAGUUCGAGCUUAAGCGGCGAGUCGAGGGGUCGCGGCCUCGUAAAAACGCAACCUAAUAAUAACUGGCAAACAAAAUUACGCUUUAGCUGCCUAAUUUGCGCAGCUAGAUCCUUCCUCCAUCGCCCAUGUGGAGAGCAAGGGUCUCAAACUGAGUGGGCUUACGCCUGAUCCCGCCGUCUGAGGGAGAGGGAAGAGACGAAUCAGACUAGCCGCUUGGAUGCCCGUUGGUAGGCGGAAGAGAUGGCGAAAACCUAAUAUGCCAACUACACUCGUAGAAGCUUAAGUGGCGAUGCUUUUGGACGUGGGUUCGACUCCCACCGUCUCCAUAC
rnacentral:tmRNA from 1 species